GAGUCGCAUGUUCUAGACCCGAAGCGGAGUGAUCUACCCAUGGCCAGGGUGAAGCGACGGUAAGACGUCGUGGAGGCCCGAACCCACUUAGGUUGAAAACUGAGGGGAUGAGCUGUGGGUAGGGGUGAAAGGCCAAUCAAACUCCGUGAUAGCUGGUUCUCCCCGAAAUGCAUUUAGGUGCAGCGUCACGUGUUUCACGCCGGAGGUAGAGCUACUGGAUGGUCUAGGGGGCCUACAAGCUUACCGAAAUCAGCCAAACUCCGAAUGCCGGUGUGUGAGAGCGUGGCAGUGAGACUGCGGGGGAUAAGCUUCGUAGUCGAGAGGGAAACAGCCCAGAUCGCCGGCUAAGGCCCCUAAGCGUGUACUAAGUGGAAAAGGAUGUGAAGUCGCGAAGACAACCAGGAGGUUGGCUUAGAAGCAGCCACCCUUGAAAGAGUGCGUAAUAGCUCACUGGUCAAGUGAUUUUGCGCCGACAAUGUAGCGGGG
rnacentral:rRNA from 1 species